rnacentral:rRNA from 1 species
UGGGGAAUAUUGCACAAUGGGCGCAAGCCUGAUGCAGCCAUGCCGCGUGUAUGAAGAAGGCCUUCGGGUUGUAAAGUACUUUCAGCGGGGAGGAAGGCGAUAAGGUUAAUAACCUUGUCGAUUGACGUUACCCGCAGAAGAAGCACCGGCUAACUCCGUGCCAGCAGCCGCGGUAAUACGGAGGGUGCAAGCGUUAAUCGGAAUUACUGGGCGUAAAGCGCACGCAGGCGGUCUGUCAAGUCGGAUGUGAAAUCCCCGGGCUCAACCUGGGAACUGCAUUCGAAACUGGCAGGCUUGAGUCUUGUAGAGGGGGGUAGAAUUCCAGGUGUAGCGGUGAAAUGCGUAGAGAUCUGGAGGAAUACCGGUGGCGAAGGCGGCCCCCUGGACAAAGACUGACGCUCAGGUGCGAAAGCGUGGGGAGCAAACA